rnacentral:rRNA from 1 species
UACGGGGGGGGCGAGCGUUGUCCGAAGUUACUGGGCGUAAAGAGCUCGUAGGUGGUUUGUCGCGUUGUUCGUGAAAACUCACAGCUUAACUGUGGGCGUGCGGGCGAUACGGGCAGACUGGAGUACUGCAGGGGAGACUGGAAUUCCUGGUGUAGCGGUGGAAUGCGCAGAUAUCAGGAGGAACACCGGUGGCGAAGGCGGGUCUCUGGGCAGUAACUGACGCUGAGGAGCGAAAGCGUGGGGAGCGAACAGG